GGCAAGGUGAAGCAGACAGCCCGGUACUUAAGCAAAUGAGCUGCUCUCAAGUUGUUAUGACUGCACAAGAAGGAGUAAAGGCUAAGGAAUUUCCAUCUGAGUCAUCAAGUAAUGAAGGUCUGUCACGUUCAGAGAAAAAAGUUUGUGCUGCCUGUAUACUUACUUGUUGAAGCAUUAUCAAGCUCCCAGUGACCAGCCCCUUAAAGAAAACUGAGUCCUUCCCCACUCUCCACCCCCCACCCCCCACCCUCACCCCCACCCCCCAACCCUGCAUCUGUAACACUUCAUCACAGUCUUUAAGGAUUCUCUUCAACAGCUUCCAGUCUAGACUGAUUUUUUUGUUUGUUUGUUUGUUUUAGGAGGGAUGGAGGGGGUUGUCAC
ensembl:lncRNA